AUUUUAGCCCUUUUAGCAAUUUGGUAUCCUCAAUAUCCAAGUCAAACCAAACCGAAUUGAGAUUUAAUUUUCGAUUUGGCUGGGAGGGAUUUGAAUUCGGUUUGCUUCGGUUUUCGAUUUAGACAAAAAAAAUCCAAUUGAGGAAACUGACGAACCCAUAAACCAAACUGAUUCUCACCCCUAUUCAUCUUUGCCCUUUGUGGGGUAGCGGUUGGGAAAUGAUGAAUAGUUUAAUGUGGACGAUAUGGAAGAUGAAUCAAAAGUUAGGAAUGAUUUGACACGUUGGAUCAUGUUAACAUUGGUUAUUCAGACGAUGCAUGUCAUCAUUUUUUUCACUUGAAGUCCUCAAAUUCGUUUAGGUUUCACUACAAGAAAAACAGUCUUUUACGACGCGCAAACAACGACACUCACUGAUUUAUGUUACGCAAAAGAGAGUGACACUAAAAAAGUGACGUCUCUUCAAAAAAUUUAAGGAUUUAUGUCACGCAUUCUUGCGUGCCCUUAAAUUAGUGUCUAAAUAAAAAAAAUAAAAAAAAAACACGGAGGGCACCUAUAAUAAAAUGUGAUGUAUGUCUACUAAAGAUGUCGCUUUAUAAAUUUUAAUGGAGCACGCCCAUCCGGUGGGAAAUGAAAUCCUAAAAAAUUAAAAACCCCACAUCUUUUUCUUCUUUCCCUCUUCCCCACAUUAUCGAUGCUCGUUCCUUUCCCUCUUGUCUCUCUCGGUCGCUACCUAGGGUUUUUAUUGAAAGCUUGAGUUGAUCGACUGAGGUAACCAAAGGUCAAGCGAACCGGGAAAGGGUUUUCAGUGAAAUCUACUGUUACUCUUUGAAAUCGGAUCCAAUCCUACCUUCGCCUCAUCCUUUUUGUCUCUAUCAGUUUCUACCUAGGGUUUUUCGUGAAAGCUUGAAUCGAUCGACUAAGGUAACUAAAGGGUAAGCGAACUGGGAAAUGGAAGCAAUAAAUCCAACAGUCACUCUCAAAUCGAUUCUACUGGACAAGGUUUCAAUUUGGGGCUCUCUACAUUCUUAUCGAUUCUACUUUCAUUCAAGCUUACAUCGGUUUUUUUGGUAUACAGUAACCGAAGCUUACAUUCUCAUCGAUUCCACUUUCUCUCUCUUAACAAAAUAUCUCAUAUUCUCAAAAAGCCCUAAACCAGCCAUCGCCGGCUAUCACCUCCACCAUCGUUCACGUCAUCCUACUUCCCAGAUGGUGUGUGUGUGCGCGCAGCAAGACUGAACAGAAAAUGGGAAAGAAAAGAAAAAAUGAGCAGAAAGAUAGAGAAGAGAGUUUAAGGACGAGGGGAGGAUGCGUCGGAGCUGUGGUACUGUUCUUAAUGUCUUUUCAAAAUACAGUAACCUUAUUAUGGGCUUGAAGAAAAAGAUGAUCGUUUUCUCUGUUUUGUAGUUCUAGAUGGUAUGGGUUCACCCUGAUAUGGUUUAGAGAAGUGUACGUCAUCUUUAAAGAUCACAAUCAUCCAUACCUUAUUUUGAAUUUCGCUUGCUCUCUCUCUCUCUCUAAACAUUUCCUCUCUUCUUUCUUUCUAAAACCCUAGUCUAUCAUCAUUACAGAGGAAUUUUCGUGUUGCUUUCCACCAUCUGUGUUGAACAAGACCAUUUUCACUAGACCAAGCUUUGAAUUGGAAAAAAAGAGUUGUGGUCAAACUUGGUUGUUGGUUCCAUUGAAAAUGAUUAAGUCGGAGGUUGUCCUAAAAGUUGAAGGUAUUGUUGUUGAACUUAUGGAAGGGGGGCCUAAAAGUUGAAGGAUUAGUGGUAAGAUUUUGCAAUUAGAGAGUGUUACACAGUCAGAAGCCAUGAGGAGGCGGUAUCGCUACUUGAGCCAUUUUUCUUUAACAACCACGUUUCAGGUAUGUUUGAAAGCUUGCUUAAAUAAACAAAGGAAGCUAUGGACCAUAUGCUUCAGCAACUCCUGUUGGUUAUAACCCCGGUUCAGCUGCUACAGCUGCCAAUUCCACCUCUAAUGAAGACCUUGGUGGGUCCCACUCCCAGUUUAAGGAAACUAAUGUUUACAUCACUAACCAGCAGGUUUCUAUUGUAAUAGUAAGCAAAUAUUUUAUCACAAGUGGGAGAUGCUUAAAAACUUUCAGAACUCGGAGUUUUGUAAUCAAUUUUAUCGGUCUUAUUUUGUGUUGAUUGUGCAAGAAAUAUUUGAUGUGAUGACCGACACUUUCAUUUAAGUUGUGCAUGUGUUGGUGCUGCAACACUUAUUCUGUCUGGUGGAAUCUGGGUCAUUAACUGAGUCUUUGUGGGACACGUCAACUGUUUCGUAUCCGUAUCCAAACAACGGGAUGUUUGUGAGAGAGUACACUAUUAAGCUUCUUGGUGCCUCUUUUCCAAAUAUUCCAGCAUCUGAGGUUGCGAAAUUUGUGAAUGGACUGUUUGCGAAUGUGAACCUAAUCACUUGACCAGUCAGUUAUUUCUCAAUCUUACUCUGCAUCAUUCGCUUCCUAUGAAAACCUUGAAAUGCCUUCAAAGAAACUUCUGUCUUCAUUAAUGCACAAGCCUUCAAUAUUAACCGAUGAUGUAGAUGCUGCAUCAAAGCAAGAUGUAUCAGACUCGAUUGGUGAUAAACAACAAUAUUCAUGAGUUGGCAUCAUGGAUAUUAUAUAUAAUCAGGGCUGGUCCAUUGAUUUAGAUAGGUUAGAUAGCCUAGUGUGGUUGUUUGGAGCAGGAUGUCAACCAAGUUCAACUAAUGACCCUUUUGGUCUACGAAGAAUCUGAUAUGGUCCAAGUGUUGACUGAUUUAAAUUGUCAUAUGAUCUUGAAGAAAAAGACACUUCUGAAAGCUUCUACAGCCCACUAGACAGAAAGAGAGCCUUCGUUUCUUCUUUAUAGUUAUCCUAUGACAAAAUUGGGCCAUGAAUCAGCAAACCUUUCCCUCAACAACUCCACCUCUUCAUCUCUAUGCACAAGAAUCACACAUAUGCAAAAACAAUAAGCUUCCUCAUCUAUAUUUUUCAAUAAUUAUAAAAUAUAGUUUAUAUAUAUUUAUAUACCAGUUCUCUAAAUAAUGGCACAGGGAUCCCGAUUCUGUGGCCAGAAAGUAUCAUCUCCCAUGGUCUUUUGGCCUUCUCUACAUCUCCUUUCUCAUCACAGAGGGAAACUUGGUGGGGGAAAGAAAGCUGCUUCAGUACCUGUAGCAGACAAAUUGGAAGGAUAUUUGUGAGGGUAAGAAUGUAAUUUUCCAUUCCAGGAAAAAAAGUGUAAAUUACUUGCCUGGAUGGAAAAUGAUGGCAUAAAAGGCUCUAAAAGGCAAGCAAGAAGAUAAACUACUCCCACUGAAGUUUUCAGUACUAUGGAACAUGAAGGUCCAAGUGUUGGUAGAAAAAGAUAGAAACUUGGACGUACAACAUGCUUUGGAAGUUGCUGCUUCUGUGCAAUCUUUGAAAAUAGAUGUUGUAACCAUACGAGAGGUUGUGGGAAAGGUGAUGCCAGAGCUAAAUGGAAAGCUUACUGGAAUGGAUUUUAGGGUUCAUGGUUUGAUGGGUUUAACCAACCAAAUAGUCUUAGGUUAUGUUCCACAAUUGCCCCUGAUAUAGGCUCGAUGCUCUCAACUAGUCGGCCAUCAAAUCUUCUGAAUACAUCAACUGGUAUGAUGAUGAUGUAAUACCUUUUCUUAUUUUGCUCGCUAAAAGACACAACUGUGAUGAAAUUUGGGCACACAAUGCACUCAGAAUGCUGUCACAAGAUGAUUAAGCGUAAUAAAUACUCUUGUCCCAUAUGCUCAAAAUCAGUAAUGGAUAUAUCUAUGAUGUGGAGAGACUAGAUGAAGAGGAGCAAUUAUUGAAUCUGUGACUAAAAAUUUAAUUUUAAACAACAAAUUCUUGAUCAUCUUUCGUUUCUAUAAGUUGGUUUGUUUUGUAAUUCUCAGAUUGAAGCUACUGUGAUGCCUGAAGAUUACAGACAAAAGAAGAGAGGCUUCCAAAUAUGAAGAAAGCUCCUACUUGAGGAUACUUUUGGACAGCAGAGAUGCGUCAAGGUUUUGAAGUUUUUGAUGGAAAAGAAUAGUGUUAAUGCUCUUCAUAGAAAAGUAUGUUGGUAUUUUAGGAAAUUUGGCUAAUAAUUUAGUUAAUUAUAUAAAAAAUGUUGAAAUGUUACAUUUGUCUACUAUUGGAAUGA